UACGAAGGGGGCUAGCGUUGCUCGGAAUUACUGGGCGUAAAGCGCGUGUAGGCGGCUCGGUAAGUCUGCUGUGAAAGUCCAGGGCUCAACCCUGGGAUGCCGGUGGAUACUGUCGGGCUAGAGUACGGAAGAGGCGAGUGGAAUUCCCGGUGUAGCGGUGAAAUGCGCAGAUAUCGGGAGGAACACCAAUUGCGAAGGCAGCUCGCUGGGACGUUACUGACGCUGAGACGCGAAAGCGUGGGGAGCAAACAGG
rnacentral:rRNA from 1 species